ensembl:lncRNA
GCAAGUGAGAACGGGAAGAAGGGGAUGAGAACUCCUGGUUGGGGGAAAAGAUGACUAGAAAGAGAAAGUAAAGCCAGAGCCAUGUGAAUCACAAAAAAUCAAAAAAAUGAUGACAAAGACACCUCCCAGCAAGUGCUACAUGAAAACACAAAUUUUCACUUCAUCAAGUGAUCACCAUGCUUCAGUUUCUGACUCCGCCCAUGCUCCACCACCAGGCUCAGGUGUGCUCCUGGAAGUAUCACUCAUUCUUCCUCCCCAGGUUGGGCUAGGUUUAGGUUAUGGGUGCAAUUCCUUUGUGUGUCGGUCACGGACUAUUUCGAGGCUGCAGAAUGAUCCAGCAAUUGCACUUACGGUCAUAUAUCCUAAGGAAAUGAAGUCACCAUCUUGGACACAUACCUGCACUUUCAUGUCUAUUUCAGCAUUAUCUGGAAGAGUCAAGACAUGGAAACAACUUAAGUGUCUGUCGAUUGAAGAAUAAAUAAAGAAAAUAUGGUAUAUAUAUUUUUAAUGAGAUAUUAUUCAGUCAUAAAAAAGAAAAUUCUGC